UAAAUUGAGAGUUUGAUCCUGGCUCAGGAUGAACGCUGGCGGCGUGCCUAAUACAUGCAAGUCGAACGAAACUUCUUUAUCACCGAGUGCUUGCACUCACCGGUAAAGGGUUGAGUGGCGAACGGGUGAGUAACACGUGGGCAACCUGCCCAAAAGAGGGGGAUAACACUUGGAAACAGGUGCUAAUACCGCAUAACCAUAGUUACCGCAUGGUAGCUAUGUAAAAGGUGGCUAUGCUACCGCUUUUGGAUGGGCCCGCGGCGCAUUAGCUAGUUGGUGGGGUAAAGGCUUACCAAGGCAAUGAUGCGUAGCCGAACUGAGAGGUUGAUCGGCCACAUUGGGACUGAGACACGGCCCAAACUCCUACGGGAGGCAGCAGUAGGGAAUCUUCCACAAUGGGCGAAAGCCUGAUGGAGCAACGCCGCGUGGGUGAAGAAGGUCUUCGGAUCGUAAAACCCUGUUGUUAGAGAAGAAAGUGCGUGAGAGUAACUGUUCACGUUUCGACGGUAUCUAACCAGAAAGCCACGGCUAACUACGUGCCAGCAGCCGCGGUAAUACGUAGGUGGCAAGCGUUAUCCGGAUUUAUUGGGCGUAAAG
rnacentral:rRNA from 1 species